AUGUUCCCAAGCCUCCUGGCCUGUUCCUGGAGGGCAGAUCUCUGCGUCAUGACCUGGCUGCUGCACUACGUGGAUCCUUUGGAUUCCAGCUUUGGGGCAGCCGUCCUCACCAUCGCUUUUAAUCCAUUUUUCUGGAAUGUGGUUGUCAAGAUG